UUCAGCUGCAGGCUUACCAAAACACUGAAAGAGUGUAGUUUGAGUUUGCUCGCGUUUUUCAUCUCCUUCAGUGAUUCACAUUAGUUAAUUUCAAACUUGCGCCGAGUGAACGGGGAUCCUACGGUCAUGCAUCAAUAUCAGAAGAUCUUAAAAGAAUCAAGAAACGUUUGACGUUCAGCUUCCCCUCCUGCGCAGGGGAAAGAAGGCAAUCAGCUGCUUAAAACCACAUCAUUCGUCGGACCAACAUAAGUCAUACUAACGUCCAACGAGCACACGGAGAAUCUCACUGACCGACAGGUGGAGAAUAAGGAGAGCACAAAGGGGAUUCACGUACGAACGGCCCGGCGACCCUCUGUACCCCGUGUCGUCUCCCACCUUCCUCCAGACGCACCAGCUUUUUAUCUUCACCCAAGAAGAAAUGUUGUCUGCGCUGUUCACGGUGUUUGUGUAAACAUCUGUUUCCUACUGAAGCUCGGAGGCCUAUGGCAGCUCGUCCAGGCUGAUCAGAGGAAACCAGAUGGCAGCUCUGCUGUUUCACUGCGUUUAAUCUUAGUUAUGUGAAGGUUAAACAUUCACUGACCUUAAAGCUCUCUCAGCUGAACGUGCCUGACUCAACCUGCAGGUGGAUCACUGAACAUCUCUCUGAUUCCAGGACCAUCAGCACCGGAUCCCCUCAAGGCUGCGUUCUUU